rnacentral:misc_RNA from 1 species
AACGCACCUUGCGCCCUUUGGUAUUCCGAAGGGCAUGCCUGUUUGAGUAUCAUGAACACCUCAACUCUUCAUGGUUUUCCAUGAUGAGCUUGGACUUUGGGGGUCUUGCUGGCCUGCGGUCGGCUCCUCUCAAAUGAAUCAGCUUGCCAGUGUUUGGUGGGCAUCACAGGUGUGAUAACUAUCUACGCUUGUGGUUUUCCACCAGGUAACCUUCAGCAGUGGAGGUUCGCUGGAGCUCACAGACGUCUCUCCUCAGUGAGGACAGCCCUUUGAAUGUUUGAUCUCAAAUCAGGUAGGACUACCCGCUGAACUUAA